ACUCCUGAUUACUCUGUUUCUUGGUCAUAGUUUGUAUUUCUUUUAUGCUGGUAUGUUAAUAGUUUUCUGCCUAAUUAUUGGUUAGUUCUAAUUGUACUUAGAUACAAAUAUUACAAAAAGUUUAAGAUAAACUUGUGAUGAACAAAAUAGAUAAUUCCAAAACUCAGAGUAAAUGAGCCACAUAAUGGUAAAUACAUUGGUUUUUAUAAGGUCCUUCUUACAAAGUUUAAAAUGAUUAACUUUAAAAUACAUUUAAUUUAUGGUCCCUUUAUGAGGAAUUCAUACAGAGAUGAUGUUAUGAAUUAACUGUAGGCACUUUAAGUUCUUGAUUGGUUUUAAAGCACUGAACAUGAAACUGAACAAAUAAUUUUGAAUCCCUUGUUGAAUGUUUCAUUUUUCUGCUAAUAUGUGAUUCACUUUAGGGACCUUAAUGGAAAUAAUAUCACAAGAAUCACCAAGACUGACUUUACUGGCCUAAGACAUCUUCGAGUCCUUCAGCUCAUGGAGAACAAGAUUAGUACUAUUGAAAGGGGAGCAUUCCAGGAUCUGAAAGAGCUGGAGAGGCUGCGUUUAAACAGAAAUAAUCUUCAGCUGCUUUCUGAACUGCUGUUCCUAGGGACUCCAAAGCUAUACAGACUUUGACGAAACAACUUCCAAACACAAGUGGUAUUUGAAGAGCUGUGUGGAUUGACAAGUGACUAACAGAGUAAACAGUUCCAUUCUGUUCCGAUAUCCCAUGGUGUGAUGCAUUGCUACAGAUACCAUGUAAGCCUCAGGAAAUAGACACAAUCCAAUUUUUAUUAAACUCUUGAUGCCAAUGUAUGUUGAUGUUAUUGCUAAUUAGCAAACUAAAUGCAAAACUGUUUCUUCUUCCUGUCAAAAGCUGUGAUGUUGCUGCCUUACAGAGUUUUAGUAAUAUAUAAAUCUAAUACAGAUGUUAUAAUUUUUAGUUAUGUACUGAUAUUGGUAUUGUUGCUAAUCACUUUCUUUCAGUUUAUGUAUAUACAAAAUAGAAGUGCUCAUCUAGAGUUGUAGGUGCCUUUGCUGUAUAUCUCAAUAAGUAAGCAGCAAAACCAGUAGCAACUUCCUAACCUCAAAACCAAUAAUUACCAUCCAGAAAACCUUCAAAGUCAAACAGCUGCCUGCACUGCCCAAUUAUGAGCCUCUCUGUGUACCUUGGUCUUGCAAAAAGACUGGGAAAAUAGAUAGGCUCAUCAGUGUAUCCUGAACAUGACCAACUAUGGGCUCUUUUGGACUGAGGGAAUUAGAUGGAUGGAUGUCAAGGUCAUGAGCACCUCAGGACAAAUGUCCUACUUCUUGAACAUCUCACCUGGUGCUGGUAACCAUGGUAUUAACAGAGAAGGAUGUGAUAUAUGAGGUAAAUAGGUCUAUAAAAAUGCAAAAAGUUCUAAAUUUUUCUUUACUGUUUUCCAAGUGAAGGUUUCACUUGAUAGCUAUGAGGGAUCUGGAGCUCUAAUACAGGUUGGACCUUCCUGGUCUGACACCCUUGGGUCUUGAUGGGUCCCAAACAAGGGAUUUUUCCAGACCAGAGGAAAGGUCACUUCUGGACACCUCUCCCUCCCCUACCCCCUCCCCCCCUCGCCCUUCUCUGCUCUUGUCCUGGUCGCUGGCCUCCCAGCCAGCUCCCGUACCCUGCUACCGGCUCAGCUGAGCUUACAGUCAGCAGGGUGCUGGCUCCCUUGCCACAGGGCUCCACCUAGGCUAUUGGCAGACACCUGA